CCUACGGGUGGCAGCAGUCGAGAAUCAUUCACAAUGGGGGAAACCCUGAUGGUGCGACGCCGCGUGGGGGAAUGAAGGUCUUCGGAUUGUAAACCCCUGUCAUGUGGGAGCAAAUUAAAAAGAUAGUACCACAAGAGGAAGAGACGGCUAACUCUGUGCCAGCAGCCGCGGUAAUACAGAGGUCUCAAGCGUUGUUCGGAAUCACUGGGCGUAAGGCGUGCGUAGGCUGUUUCGUAAGUCGUGUGUGAAAGGCGCGGGCUCAACCCGCGGACGGCACAUGAUACUGCGAGACUAGAGUAAUGGAGGGCGAACCGGAAUUCUCGGUGUAGCAGUGAAAUGCGUAGAUAUCGAGAGGAACACUCGUGGCGAAGGCGGGUUCCUGGACAUUAACUGACGCUGAGGCACGAAGGCCAGGGGAGCGAAAGGGAUUAGAUACCCCAGUAGUC
rnacentral:rRNA from 1 species